AAUAGAUACCCAGGUAGUCCACGCCGUAAACGUUGGAUACUAGGUGUGGCGGUUAUACCAAUGACUGCCGUGCCGAAGCUAACGCAUUAAGUAUCCCGCCUGGGGAGUACGGCCGCAAGGCUAAAACUCAAAGGAAUUGACGGGUCCCCGCACAAGCGGCGGAGCAUGCGGCUUAAUUCGAUGCAACCCGAGGAACCUUACCUGGGUUUGACAUCACGGGAAAAGCUGUAGAAAUACAGUGUCCAUUAGGGCCCGUGACAGGUGGUGCAUGGCUGUCGUCAGCUCGUGUCGUGAGAUGCUGGGUUAAGUCCCGCAACGAGCGCAACCCUUGUCCUAUGUUGCCAGCGGUUCGGCCGGGGGACUCAUAGGAGACUGCCGGGGAUAACUCGGAGGAAGGUGAGGACGACGUCAAGUCAUCAUGCCCCUUAUAUCCAGGGCUGCACGCAUGCUACAAUGGCCGGGUACAACGGGCAGCGACCCCGCGAGGGUGAGCGAAUCCUAAAAGCCGGUCCUAGUUCGGAUUGAAGUCUGCAACUCGUA
rnacentral:rRNA from 1 species